rnacentral:sRNA from 1 species
ACGUUUUAGGAUAUGUCAACGUUUCUCCUAGUAACGAAAAUUUCGCCAGAGGUACAUACUGCGCUUUAGCUGCAACCGAAAGCUAAAGCUAAAGGUGCAUACGCAGCAUAAUCGAUUAAUCGACUUUUUGUAUAAAAAAGUCGAAGUCGACUUCCAAUGAUUAAAAAGUCGAACAAUCGAUUUUGAGGCCGAAAAGAAAGCCGCACGGAGACACGUUCUGCUUUGUUGCUGUUUCUAAUUAAAUUAUUUCCUAUAUUUUUGAGUGCUAUGAUUCAUUCUUCUUUGGUUUAUUUUUGUUGUCAAAAAUAUUUUAAAUUGAAAAGUUUUUUAAACGGAAAAGUCGUACUUAGAGCGUGUGUCGAAUGAUAGCAAUCUCCCAUGUAAAUAUAAAUGUCAAAGGCCCUAAAAUCUUAAAAAGAUGUUCUAUUUAUUCCGAUAUUCCAAACAUAGGAAACAAAACAGUGUUAUAAUGAUGAAAAUACAAAUAUAAAACACAUUUGGAGAA